AAUGUCUGGGAAACUGCCCGAUGGAGGGGGAUAACUACUGGAAACGGUAGCUAAUACCGCAUAACGUCGCAAGACCAAAGAGGGGGACCUUAGGGCCUCUUGCCAUCGGAUGUGCCCAGAUGGGAUUAGCUAGUAGGUGGGGUAAUGGCUCACCUAGGCGACGAUCCCUAGCUGGUCUGAGAGGAUGACCAGCCACACUGGAACUGAGACACGGUCCAG
rnacentral:rRNA from 1 species